CUAAUAUUUUCUUCUGACUCACCUGAUACACCCGAAACAACCUCAGUGGCCGAAAUCUCAUAGAAAGGCAGGCCGAUUUCAUUUCCUAUGGCACGAGCCAAUGAGGACUUUCCACAACCAGGGGGUCCUUGUAGCAAAAUUCCAGUUAUGGGUUUGAUCCCCAACCGCUGAAGCUGCUUCGAAUGAUAGAAUGGCACAAUCACCUCCCUCUUCAAUUGCUUCAACAGAUCCUUCAUCCCUCCAAAAUCUUUAAGCCUAGGCCCUUCUUCCUUUGCGACCCCUGUCUCUGUUUCUGCCCCAUUAACAGAACUCAAUACCCCUUUCCUUGCAUUCCCUUCACUGCCCAUCUGAAUAUCAGCAACCUUAUUGUCUAUGGAAACUUCCAACUCCACACUCUUCUCCAAACCCUCGUUCUUUGUUUUGUUCGACUCGGCGUAAGAUGUUCGGAGCAUCGACUUCAUCAAAUCGAACUCCGGCUCUACUUUUUCCCCAUAUAUGGCAUCCUCCGACGUCGACUCUCCACUAUUACCAGAAUCCGAUGACAAUGAUGACGAAGAAUCAUCCUGAUUGCUGUGUUGUAUCCUCCUGAGGUGCAUAUUCUCUAUGCUUUGCAACCUCUGUUCGCUGACGUCGG
rnacentral:misc_RNA from 1 species